rnacentral:tRNA from 1 species
GUACCCGUAGCUCAGUGGAUAGAGCGACAGAUUGCGGAUCUGUAGGCCGGAGGUUCGAUCCCUCUCGGGUACG